UAAAAGUGGAGACCAGCAGCCACUAAAAAAACGGGGCGUCAUCGAAAAGCCACACGAGUAGAAGAAUA
rfam:Flavobacterium sp. AED Contig01, whole genome shotgun sequence.